AACGAACGCUGGCGGCAGGCUUAACACAUGCAAGUCGAGCGCCCCGCAAGGGGCGCGGCAGACGGGUGAGUAACGCGUGGGAACGUGCCCUUUGGUUCGGAACAACUCCGGGAAACUGGAGCUAAUACCGGAUAAGCCAUUAGGGGGAAGGAUUUAUCGCCAAAGGAUCGGACCGCGUCUGUUUAGCUAGUUGGUGGGGUAAUGGCUCACAAAGGCGACGAUCAGUAGCUGGUCUGAGAGGAUGAUCAGCCACACUGGGACUGAGACACGGCCCAGACACCUACGGGAGGCAGCAGUGGGGAAUAUUGGGCAAUGGGCGCAAGCCUGAUCCAGCCAUGCCGCGUGAGUGAUGAAGGCCUUAGGGUUGUAAAGCUCUUUUGUCCGGGAAGAUAAUGACUGUACCGGAAGAAUAAGCCCCGGCUAACUUCGUGCCAGCAGCCGCAGUAACAC
rnacentral:rRNA from 1 species